rnacentral:rRNA from 1 species
AGAGAUGCAUUGGGCGUAAAGCGUGCGCAGGCGGUUUUGUAAGACAGAGGUGAAAUCCCCGGGCUCAACCUGGGAACUGCCUUUGUGACUGCAAGGCUGGAGUGCGGCAGAGGGGGAUGGAAUUCCGCGUGUAGCAGUGAAAUGCGUAGAUAUGCGGAGGAACACUGAUGGCGAAGGCAAUCCCCUGGGCCUGCACUGACGCUCAUGCACGAAAGCGUGGGGGAGCAAACA